rnacentral:rRNA from 1 species
UACGUAGGGUGCAAGCGUUGUCCGGAAUUAUUGGGCGUAAAGAGCUCGUAGGCGGUCUGUCGCGUCGGAUGUGAAAACCCAGGGCUCAACCCUGGGCCUGCAUUCGAUACGGGCAGACUAGAGUUCGGUUGGGGAGACUGGAAUUCCUGGUGUAGCGGUGAAAUGCGCAGAUAUCAGGAGGAACACCGGUGGCGAAGGCGGGUCUCUGGGCUGACACUGACGCUGAGGCGCGAAAGCCAGGGGAGCAAACGGG